GACUGAUAAAGGAUUGUGAUACUUUUUACAGGAGUAUAUCAAAAAAACUUCGAAUCGACACUGUUUUAUUUGUUUCAAUAAAUACUCUUACGAUUCAGUUCGUUCAGUCUACCGGUAAACUUAAAGUGAUAUCUAAGUCUAAGUGUAAAAUUUUUAGGCACAAAAGGAAAACACUAUCGCAACAAAGAAAUUGGAUAGCUCAUCGCUGACUAAAUUCUAUGAAUUCUUGAUCUGUAUUGAGAUUCGACGUUUGUUUCUUGUUAUUUCAUUGAAAUCCCUGACAUUCUACUUAAUACUGCGAAAAGGACAGAUUGCCUUACGCCAGACUAAUCCGGCCGGAAUCCUGUCCCAAACUCUCCCGGGCCCAGUGAACGGCAUCGUGAACCGUUGGGAACAAUUUACAAAACUCCCGUUCGCCACCUACCAAACCACACUUAAACAUCAUUUCGUACACCGGCGGAACCACCCCGGCAAUCAGCAUCGUAAUGGACAAUUUUUCGAAUUCCCCGAUCAAGGCCUUCAUCGAAGAGAUGGCCGAUGAAUCGAUACAACUUAGCGCCCCAAAGUCCAGAACCAAAUAUCGUAGAUUCUGUUGCCGUUUGUAAUCGUUAUCGCUGCUCGAUACGUUCAGAAGCUUUAUUUCCUCAGUCAGAUUCAGCUUAAGAGCAUCGCAAAGCGCCGAUUUGAAUCCGGCUCGAGUGGCGAAGUUCAAACUUCCACAAUAGUGGAAGAUUUUCACCCCCGGGAUGUCGAUCGUCUAAAAUAGAAAUUCAAUGUACAGAUCUGUAUUCGGUACAUUCUCCAUCAGACAAGUGUAAGGUUUCAUGCCCUUGAAGAAGAUGCAGCAGAUGCUCAAAACGAUCCCCACCAACAACCCGAUGUCGAUCGCUACCAGAACCACCGUCAGGAAAGUGAUGAUCCAAAUACCAGCAUCCACGCAGCUCAGUUUCCAAAAGUCCAAAAACUGUGUCACCUGCAUCAGCAACCCCUUCAGGGACACCACAAUGAUCCCAGCCAAAACGCACCGAGGCAAGGGCUCGAAAAAAGGCCCCACCCACAACAAAACCACCGCCAAUAUACCGCAUGAUAUGAUCGAAGCGAUUUGCGUCUUCCCACCCACCGUGUACUGGAUCAUCGAUCGUGAAAGUGAGGCCGAGAAGGGCAUGCACGAAAAGAACGACCCGAAAAUAUUACUAGCGCCCAUAGCCAGCAGUUCCUGGUUGAAGUCGAUCUCGUAAUUUUGCUUCUGGGCGAAGAUCAGACCCAUCGAGACGGAAACGGCAUACGCAACCAUCGCUAUCGGGAAACAGUCCAGCAGAAUGGCUUUGAAGAGGGUACUGUCCGGCAUGUUGGGAGCUGUUGGGGAGAGAAAAAUUCUAGUGAGCUUGAUUUUAAUCAGUUUAAAACAUAAAAAUGUUUAAAGAUGGUUAUUUAUCACAAAAACAAAUUUAGCCUUAACUCAAAACCGUCAUGUUAGUUUCUAGCUACGAGAGGGCUGGUUUUAAAAGGAUUGAAUAGAGCCACUUGUUCAAUUUUUUUUUUUAAAUACAUAGGCAGGAUAUGAUGUUUUUACACAUCACAUUAGGAUAAGUAUGAAAUAUGGGUAAAAAAAAUCAAGGAAAUAUAUAAAAAUAUAUAUUUCUCUGAAAACGAUAAUCCUUAGUAAUGGCCAAGGACCGUCAGAAUGCAAUUGUAGUUCCUAUUAGUAGACCGAACGGUAUUUUAAUCAUGAAACUGAUGAAUGUCUCAUGGUCAAUUCUAAAUAAUAAAAAUUAAAUCAAAUGUUUUAAAGAACCAAAGUGACGGAGUAAAAUUUCACACGAGUUACCGUCGAACGGAGCAUCAUGCAACAGCAGGGUUAGAUGCAACAUUUGUAUA